UGCCUAAAUGUAAAUGCAUUACUCUGGACGCGGCUGACCCCUGACCUUUCAACAGCAGCGGCGACACCUGAGAGACAGUGUCCGUUAAUCUCCAGAUACCAGUCUGCAUAGUAUGACCCCACAAAUGAGAGCUCCAUCAAUCAAGGCUCUCCUUAAAUGUCCUCUGAUGGACACUGGACAACCAUGCCAGCAAGUCAGGGACACGACCUAGUGUUAGCACAAUAUCUUCUGCAGCAAAAUCCACAGCAUACUCGCUAGUAGCAUUGGAGCCCACUGCAUGCCUGAACAUAUUGGCAAAGAUGAUUGGAAUUAUUUGUGCUGCAUCAAAUGUCACCUAAGAUUUACACUUUGAGAAGUGGCUACCACCACACACGCGCACAGAUGAUACCACUAAUAUGUGACUUACUAUAGAACUAGUCCAACCUUUCAAAGCCGGAAUAAUCCUUUAGUGUGGAGGGUGUCGGUCAGCCAGCGGGACAAACAUACAAGCAUCCCGGCACUAUUCUUGACCUUUAAGAUAAGGACAAAUAACUUGGUCAAGGCUGUAUAUGUGAAUGGAGGUUAAAUGAAAUACUGGCUGGCUGGCUGGCUGGCUGGCUGGCUGGCUGGCUGUCUGUCAACAGUGUAGUUUUUAGACAUAUUUAUGUUAUGCUCUGUCAGAAAAUCCUGCUUACUUCACUUAGAUUUAUUGAUUUGUUCCCCACAAAACAUGACCAAAUACAGGAUUGUGUGGAAAUAGAGAGUGGAGCACUGUAUGUGAUGGAAGAGACUACAGUUGAACAGCUAUCUAUGCAAUCCUAGCAUUGAGAAAUGUGUGUCUGUCACUGCUAUCGGCUGCAUCUGUAGAAAGCAAGGGCAGCCCAUAACACUAGCAAAUAUAGCCAUGCAACUACACUUUGGACUCAAGACAAGGUCGUAUUCGCCACUCACAUAUUCUUCCAAUAUCACCACACCACAGCCUCUCUGUCUCUCUCUAUCUCUCUCUAUGCUCUCUCCCCACAUGCAAGGGGUGGGCUCCCCUAAAAUAAACAUCACCGUUUUCGCUUCUCCUCCCUGCUCCCCUAUCCGAGGCCAAUGACUGUGGUAGGCCGGGUAGUUUUCUGGUCAGCUGUUGGUGUGGCAGUGUCAGCUGCCCCCCCCCAACCCCCACCCCUGUGACACCUUGCACAGCAGUGACUCUCCCUGAGAGACUUUGCUACCACCCACACUGUUGAUUUAAGCUCUCCUGUUUCACUUGGGGCGCAGCUGUCAUUUAACUGCAGCAGUGUCACUGCUCCGCUCCACCACCUUCUCCAGACUUCACCUCAGACCAGGCCCUUUGGCUACUCUGGUCCAACUCAUUUAUACUCUGAAGAAAAUGAGGUGAGGCCAAAAGAGAUCUCACUGUGGGGUGUGCUUGUCAUGGAAAUGUACACUACGUCCCAAACACUGGUGUGCAGGCCUCGGGCAGUCCUGACAGUAUAAGCCGUGGAAAAAAGUACUUGUUCACUGAGAUUGCCAAAUUCAGAUUACAACAGUCGAGUGAACGCAUACUUUAUUUGAGGCAUACUUUAAGGGGCUUAAUUAGAAAUGUAAUGACACCAUCACAUUAUCACAAUAGAGACGGCAAGAUAUUAUUGCAAUUUUACCCCGUUAAAUGUCACAGCAUGACAGUGACACAUAGACCCAGCACACACACACACAGACACACACACACACUCACUAAUCCUCAUUCUGAUUUAUUCAUUCUGAACUAAGUCUAAAAGGGUGUAAUUCAUGCUUUUUUGAAGGAUGUCCUUGCUGGGAGGUCUGAGAAAGCUACCUGUUCUCCAACUGCACUCAUGCCUGUGCAGACACAUAAGGAAAGGUCGGGAAACUAGAUGCAGAGAUAUGGCCUGAAUUCCUUAUUGAUAUACCUGUCUGUAUACCCCUGAGGCGACAGAAACUCUUCCUGCCACGCAGUCUAUACAUGAAGAUGUCAACUGAACAAAGCUGUGGCUAAGUUAUUUAAGGUUCAGUGGGGCUACGGUGAUUUCACUGGUUCACAUAGCGUUAAAACGCUCUAGAGGGAUGCCUUGUGGGAGGAAAACACAAUAGCAUUAACAACAUUGUUAUACGAAACGUGAAAUUGUUUCGUUACUAAAUUCUGUUCACAGCCAAACUCUUACAGGAGUUUAUGUUCAGAACAUACCCAACCUUUGCUUUCCUGGGCUUUCUAGUUAGAAUAUUAUACAGAGAACUUCCUUUUCAGUAACUGUCCGAGAACUGUCAAGGCAUUACGGAGAUACACAGACAGCUUGAUAGAUAGAGAGAAGACCAAAUUACUGUCUUCGACAAAGCUUGACCAAGUUGUGCCGAAGAGUGGAACGCUCCAUUUUGUAGUGAGGACGGCAACUGAAGUUGGUUCUUCACAGUGUACGACGUGUCAAUUCAUUUAAAUUCUUAA